rnacentral:rRNA from 1 species
GUUGGAACCUGGUGGGCCUAGCCUACCCGGAUUGUAAACUAAAGUUUUUGGGUCGUUUAGUCAGCCAGAUAAAUAAGUCCUCUGGAAAGGGGCGACAUAGAGGGUGAAAUCCCCGUCUUUGGUCUGAGCAUGAUUAGGCGUUUGGCCUGGAAACGAAGAGUCAGGUUGUUUGGGAAUGCAGCCUAAAAUGGGAGGUAAAUCUCUCCUAAAGCUAAAUAUUGACGAAAGACCGAUAGCGAACAAGUACCGUGAGGGAAAGAUGAAAAGCACUUUGAAAAGAGGGUCAAAAAGUACGUGAAAUUGCUGAAAGGGAACCGUAUAAAAUCAGACUUACUGGUAGGUAAUCAACCUUCCUCUCGGGGAGGGUGCACUUGCCUGCUAUUGUAUGCCAGCAAUACUUUGGUUGGGAGGAAAAAAGUAGGAGAAAUGUAGCCUGGGUUUCGGCUUAGGUGUUAUAGUCUCUUGCAAAAUACUCUCGGCUGGAGUAAGGAACGCAGCAAACCGUAAGGCGAAGAUUUUGGGCGCUUGGAGUUAAUAGUUGGAGAAUUUCUGCUUCGGGUGGUGCUUCAGCUAUUGAUUUUAACUCGCUUAAAGUUCUUUUAAUUUGCUUAGGUUGUUGGCUUAAUGA